UUUUUUUUUUUUUUUUUUGUAUUUGUCUGCCCCAGGCACUCCAAUAGGCUGACACAAAGUAUAGAUGAUUUAAGGGUGCUCUUUAAAUUAAUACAUCUUUCCUAGUCAUUGGUAUUUUGCAGUAGGUUGGGAUGUGCUGACUAAGUGUUGCACUGCAGAAUUUACUGAAAGUAAAUCCAUUCUGCCUGAGUGGAGGGUGUACAGCAGGGAUGCCAAGAGACCUCAAUAAGCUGAGCAUUUUGCUAAGGAGCUCCUCUUUCAGGAGUGGAUGGAGAUCACCACCACUGGGCAUUCUUAUAUAAGGGCUCACCAUCAGUAUUUGCUUUGUGCCCAGGGAUGUGCCUUUUAGUCUUGCCACGGCAGUGCCCCAAGAGUCCUUGUGGAGCUGGAACCAUGCCAUGAGAUAGGCACAGUCUGCCAUGAUUUCCUCCUAAAAAUUGUCCUGAUUUUAUGUCAGGUUUCUUGCCAGAAGUUGCAUUAUAACCUCUUCGGGUAAUUUUAGGGUGGUGUUAUAUUUUUGAAAUACAGAGAAAUUUUAUUCUUUCUCAUUCUUUGCAAAGGUAGUAGAGCAAUAUUAGAGCCAUUGCUGAAAAGUAUGAUUUCCAAUGCAGGAAUAUAGAUUCGUGACCAAGUACAUAGCAAAAUGGAGAAAAGAAGCAAUUUGUUAAAAUGUUCUUUUCCAAAUAUUCAUAGCCUGGUUUUUGAGGUUGUCCUGUGCCGAAUCAGAAGUUGGAUUCAAUGAUUCUUGUGGGUCCUUUCCAAGUUAGGUUAUCCUAUGAUUCUAUUAAAUAUUCCAUUCAAUUUUCCCUAAGAUAGCUUGAACUUCUUUAAUUGUGGGGCUUUUUUCCCAACUUCUCCUUCUGCUGGUUCCAAAACUAUUUUGAAUUCCAAAUUUGAAAAGGUACACUAGUUCUUCAAAGCUCAAGGAAGGCAAGAUUUGUAUUAGCCUGACUUAUUUUACUGCAGUAAUCCUCAGGCAUACUUUAGAGAUAGCAGCUAUUAUAUUGUCAUUAUGUGGAACAAUUGUAUAUACUUGUGUAUAACACAUAAAUGAUACAAGAAAAAUCUCUUUCUCCUCCCAGUAAUACUGGUAAUACUACUUUUUUUACAUCUUCUGCCACAGCUGUACAGAAAUGUUGCUAUUUCUGGGUAACACAAAGUGCCAUUGCACUCAGUUUUGUGAAAAGGCAUGAAUUAAUAUAUCCUUUCCAAGCAAAGUCAUGGGUAUAUGUUGCAUAGAUAGAAUGUAAUCUCCGUUUUUGAGUAAUACAAAGGCACUGUAUUUUGGCAAUACAUGGUCAGAACUGUGUUUUCAUAAUUCCCUGAGAAAAUCCCAGUUCCACAAACCACAAUGUGUUGACUCUGUGGUAGCAGGGAACAGUUUUAUUUAUCUGGAUAUCCUGACCACACACUCUGUAUGUUUUCUUUGGAUGAUUUGUGAUGAGUAGGUUCAGUCACAGUAGAUUUUGUCUUCACUGAGAGAAAGCACUCAAACAAAUCCGUAUGACCUAUGGGUCAUAAAAUUCUUUAUUGCUAUAUUCCUGAAUUUAUACAUUGUAUUUUUAACAGCAUUAAAGUAAUUAUAGAUGAUUCAUUCAAUGAAAACAUUUGCUUAUCUUCAGAGGAGUCUCUGAUUACCUCUUUCUUUUUUGACAUCUCAAGCUAUAGGCUCAGUCUUCCAGUUUGGUUACAUCAUUUUCCUUGGGUUCAGAUAAUGUCUCAAUCUGAUUUGAUAGUAACAAACUCAGUAGAGAGCAUAAAGCAGAUGCCCAUGGCUAUUUUUAGAGGAAACUAAAUUAAAGCUGUGGUAGAAGGACCAGUAAAUCUCCAUCUAGAAGAAAACUGCUAAAGCCACCUUACAGUGCGAAAAGGAAUUAAUGGAAGAGAAGAUUGGGAGAUACUGCUGGUUUUGGCAGAAAGAGAGUUAAUUUUUUUUCACAGUAGCUGCUAUGGGGCUGUGUUUUUGAUUUGUGCUGAAAACAGUGUUGACAAUGUAGGGAUAUUUUCAUUAUUGCUGAGCAGUGCUUUCUGCCAAAGCCUUUUCUGCUCCUCACAUUGCCCCACCAGUGAGGGGGCUGGGGGUGUAGAAGGAGUUGGAAGGGGACACAGCUGAAUAGCUGACCCCAAGUGACCACAGAGAUAUCCCAGACCAUAUGGCAUCAUGCUCAAGAUAUAAAUCUGGGGAAGAUGAAGGAUAUGUUCAAAAUCUUGGCAUUUAUCACUUCGCAAGUCACUGUUAUACAUGAUGAAGCCUUGCUUUUUCCAUGGGCAAACUGAAAACAGCUUGCCCAUGGAAAGCAGUUAAUUAAUUGCUUUGCUUGUUCAUGGGGCUUUUGCUUUACCUACUGAAUUAUCUUUAUCUCAAUGCACGAGUUUUCUUGCUUUUACCCUUCCAAUUCUCUCCCUCAUCAUGCUGGUGAGGGAGUGAAUGAGCAGGUGGGGCUUUGUUGCCAGCUGGGGUGAAACCUGACACAGAUGAAGUGCAAAGAACACUGAUGAAGUUAUAAUAAAAUGGACCAGGAGUUACUUUCUUCCUCAAAAUAUUUCUGAAGUCUAAGUUUUAUGCCACUGUUUUUUUUUGGUAUUUUUUAAGGAUGACCAAGGCUGAUGGUAAGAUUUUUUUCCCAUUGGCUUUCCUAGUUAGGAGUUUAGCAUGACAGUCUGGCUCCAAACAGAAUUGCUGGCAGGUAAAGCCCAGCAAUUCUAGUUGUUGCUAGCAUCCAGCACAUAAAAGGGGUAAAUAUCAAGGCUGUGAAAUAUUUUUAGGAGAAAAAGUUUCUGAAUAAGACCAACAUGAAAUCAAGGGUCAUGUUUAUUUUGUCUGAAAAAGAUGUCCCAGAUGCUGUGCAACCUAAAAUUAAAACACAUAUUAGUUCCUCUUUUCAGACUGUUGCCACUGGAGGAAAAGUAGGGUAAGAGCAAAAAGGUGACUAGCAAGAGGGCCAUGAUACUGUCAAUUGAAAUUGGAAAGUAAUUAAAAAAUAAAGGAUUAGACAAUGUAGGAAAAUACUUUGACAGAUACAGUAGAUAUUGAAACAAACAUUAAAUAUCAUCAUUUCUCUUCCCAUGCAUUCUUCUUGCAAGUAGCAGCAAAGGAGCUCAUCAUUUGGGGAAGAAGAGGAAGAAGGUUGAUUCUGGUACGAUUCCCCUUCAGCCUCACAAAACCCAGGGCAUUGCACAAAGGUGUCAUCUUUCUAUGACAGAACUUGGACAAAGGGAUUUUUGAGAAGCCUGAUACAAGGACCUGGGAGCUUCCCUGUAGUUAUUAACAGAAAGGAAUGUUAUCGAUUUCAACACCUGAGAAAAAUCAAAGCAAUCCUGACAUCAAGGUGACCAUAAAAAGAUGCUUGCUUGGUAAUUCAAACCAUGAGUUUUGACAAAGAACUUUCACAGAGACAAAAAACAUUCACAGAAUCUCACAGUAAAGUUUGUUCCUUGUUUUCUCUAUGGCUAGAACAGUUCUUGUCAUUUACUGCACAAUGAAAAUAGUUUACGCUCUAAUUUUCAACAGUCCCCAGUUACAUUAGAAAUUCUAGCCCAACACUCUUAUAUUACUCCCUGAAACCCAAUAUCCUGCAUCUUCACAGCUCACACACACAUUUAAACUGAAUGCUUUUAUUUGGAUUAUUGCAGCUAGAACAGAAAGAAUCAUUACAACAUCUCCUCGAUGAAACACAGAGUUUGUAUGAUGCACACAAUAUAAUUCCACUUGGAAGGGAACAACCCCAGAACAGGAUGUGACCCUCACUCAAUACCUAAGGAGACACAGCACAGCUUUGACAUGGCAUGACUGCAUUGCUACUCAACAGCAAUAAAGAUAUGUGUUCAAGAAGUGUGCGAGGCCAGGCUGGAUGAGGCUUUGGGCAACCUGGUCUAGCAAAAGUUGUCUUUGUCCAUAGUAGAAGGGUUGGAACUAAGUUUGAUCUUUAAGGUCCUUUCCAAACUCAAUAAUUCUGUAAUGGUUAAUAUUCCAGACAAAGCCUUGGAUUACAUGUAAUUCCCCCUACAUGCUAAAAAAUGUAAAAUCUGUACACUACCAUCUAAAAAAUAAGCGUAUGAAGCCCCAGACUUUCACUUGGGAAUACUCUGUUUGGGGCCAUAUAACUGUUUUUGGUAAUGUUCUUGUAGCAACUUGAACUUAAAAGAUUAAUUAGGUGCCAAAUUCCACCAAAAUGAUCAGGAAAAAAGAGGCAAGACAUUAAGAAACCAAGAGCCGUACAGCUUCUUAGUUUUGUAUUGUCAUGGACUCUUUCAGCCCCAAAAGAGAAGGAAUAAUAUCUUUGACUCUGAUCUCUUAUCCUGGAUUAUUUCAGUUACUGGAUCUUUUUUCCUAUACAAAACACAGCUGGUUUUUUUUCAUGAAUUAACUUCUGACAGAGAAUCAGCUUUGGUGAAGUAACAGAUUUGAGUUUCUGAAACAGUUACUUCAGGCUUGGGUAAGCACUUCUGUAGAUGAGGAGCAGAGCUAUUUCCAGGUCCAUUAGAGAAUAAGAGUGAUGCCAUGGUGAUCAAUGCAAUUAUUUUGCUUCAGAUGGAAAUGGUUUGGCAGGGACAUUGCAAAGGGACAUUAACUGAAAUCUUUAUUUUUUAUUAGAUAAAUGAUGAAGAUGGUUUCUAUGUUGUUUUAAAUGGAUGUUUGCUCACUUGUAUUUUUCAGUGUAAUCUGUAAUCCAGUAAAUUUACAAUCCUUUUAAUAAACAUAAGUCUAAAAAUAGUAUUUGGUAAUCAGGACACAGGAUGUACAGAAUAGCAAUUUAGUAGUCUACAUCUAAUUGCUGAAAAACAUACCUGAAAGUGGAAAAUACAUAGAAUGAUCAUAGAAGGUUGGGUGGAAAAAGACCUUUAAGAUUAUUAAAUCAAAUACUGCAAAGUCCUCAGGUAAACCAAAUCCCUCUCUAAGUGCCACAUCUAUACAUCUUAAGUACCUCCAGGGAUACUGACUCAUCCACUACCCUGGGGAGCCUGUUCUAAUGUUUGACAGCCCUUUCAGUGCAGAAAUUUUUCCUAGUAUACAAUCUAAACCUCCCCUGGUGAAACUUGACCGCAUUUCCUCUUGUCCUAUCACUUCUUACCUAGGAGAAGAGACUAACCCUCAUGUCUCUGUAACCUCCUUUUAGGUAAUUGUGGAGUGUGGUAAGUCACAUUUCACACCCCACCCCAGCCCUGAGCCUCCUCUUCCCCAGGCUAAACACCCUCAGCUCCCUCAGCUGCUCUUCACAGGACUUGUGCUCCAAAACCUUCUGCAGCUUCAUUGUCCUUCUCUGGACAUGCUCCAGCACCUCUUUUCUUCUAGUGAGUUGCUCAAAACUGAACACAGGAUUCGAGAUGUAACUCCCCCCACAUCCAAAAAAGAAUGGAGAUUCUCCUUAGCUCUCUUUCUGUUGUUAAUGCAUUUAUAGAAUAGGAUACAGACUUUAUGUUCCAGUUAUGAAACAAUAUAAAUAUAGAAGAAAUAUUAUAUUCCUUCUUUUGUUACAAACAAGGGGCAUAUGCCAUGAACAGCAUUUUGCUUUCACUUAAAUUCUUUAUAAUCAUUAUUCCUUCUUUUCAACUGAACCAGCCCCACCACCCCCCAACAGAAAAAAAAAAAAAAAAAAAAAAAAAA
rnacentral:lncRNA from 1 species